CUUGUGUUCAAAUGGUCAGAACAAACUAGAAAUGUAAUAUAGGAUAUGAAAAAUGGUUUAUGAUUAUAAAAAGUAUUCCAAUGUCUUAAGAAAAUACAAAUUAAACAAACCAAGGCUUUGGAUAUAUCAUGUUCAUAUGCCUUUGGUUCCCAGUACUCUCCAUUUUAAACCUUAAGGAAAGCUUACAAGUGAAAGCAUUAUGUGUAUAAUAUAGCAAGGGAUCUUCAGCCAUUCAUCACAAGGGGAACAUGAACACUUUGCAAGAUGUGCAACAGUCCAUUAGUAACCG